ACAAUGGUUUUCAGUUACACUGACAAGGAACAUGAAAUUCCUUGUAAUACUUUGGGCUCACCAGGCAUGAGUGUCACUUGGACAUCCACUAUAAGUCUUACAACAAAGACAAUAAACACAACGAAUGGAGCAUCUCCAAAUGGACAGUUGGAGUAUGUCAACUCCACUUUCAGUUUCACCGGGAAAGAUUCGGGUAUCAUGUUUAACAGGGCCCACCCAGCUGGCGCUAUGUUCAACCUGACCUGCACUACUGCCUACCCGACCCGUUACAAAUGUAGGUUUGUAGAAGGUCAAAAUCCACAGCCUCCGACAGGUGUACUGGACCGAUGUGAUAAAGCAGUUGCACCUUUGUCAACAACGUACACCAUCAGCCUGCGAGCUCCAUGUCCCCAGCUCAACGCAUCCCUUGGUUACCUAUACAAUGAUACGCUUUCCAAUGACCCUGGAACUGUUCUUGGCAUUUCGUGUCGUGUUGGCUUGACUAUGGCUAGUAGUAUGAGUAGCAUUGACUCUAUCUCAUGUCAGGCUAAUGGAAUGUGGACAGCUCUUCCAAACUGCACAGUGGUUAUGUGCACUGUGCCAACACUCAUGAAUGGCAAUGCAGACAAGACAAUGGUGUCCUAUCUUCAGAGUGUGAAUUACACGUGUAAUACUGGUUAUAGAAUGAAUGGAUCUGCAACAGCAACGUGCAGUGCUGAUGGAACUCUACAAAUGCCUACUU